UUUUUAUUUAUAGCAUAGUAACCCAGUGCCUUUUUUUGUAGCCGUUGCCAAGGUGCAUGUUGUUCACCGUGUUGAAACACUCCAGUGAGUAUGGAAAGUCUAUGCGAGCUGUGCGUUUUGAACUUUGAGCCUCUUUAAUUACGUAUGUCCAAAGCUUACAGGGAGUUGACUUGCAGGUGGUAUGCAGCCUUUGCAUCAUUAUUCACAUGACCCUCAUGCAUCAAUCAGGUUCAGCUGCUUUCCGUGGAACAUUCCUUGCACGUUCAUGCCACAGAUUCAUCCUUGACCUCGAGCCAGGGUUACAACAUAGGCAGGCCAGCGUGAGCAAAUGUGGUGUCCUCCAGCGCUGGAUUUGUGCCACCCUCUGCAAGAUGGUGUGGAAGAUUCACGUGGAUUGCUUGACAGCUAAAAAACAUGCACUACUCGUCCCAGGAAUGCUGGUGCAACAUGAAAAAUGGAAAAAGCUCAAGUGUAGAGCACCAAGCACAUGGCUUUGCCUCUAAUCCUUCGUGUAACAACAAAGUUCGACUUUGACUUCAAGUUGUUGAGCGUCCUUGAAGCCUUUGAACAACUUGAAGUCUGCACGGGUAACACUUCAUCACUCUCCGAAGCAUUCGCGGAAACGAGCUUUUGCCGAUGUCGAGUUGCAGUAGAGCCCACUCGAGAGACUGAAUCUAAACUCUCCAAUGUGAGUUAUUCCUGAAACAAAAUAGAAUUUAUGUCUUGUAUACCUUUGGGACACCUUGUGUAUUUACAUUCUACUGCACAGGUGUCAAACUUGAGGCCCGGGGGCCACAUCCGGCCUGCCAUUUUAUUUGAAAAUAAAUGAGAUGUGUCAACUUCCAUGACCCUUGUGCUAAAAUCUGUACCAUUUGUCAUGUGUUAUAAAUUCAGUUUCUUAAGUGUCUCAUUGCACAAGUAUAAGCGUAGUAUCAUUAUGGCGCUCCCAAAAAACCCCCAUACUUCCCAAACCUCAAGACCACAAAAUGAUGCAACAGUUAUUCCCGUAUGAGUGGGUUGAUUCUAAAGUAUUUCACGUUCUUCCAGUCUGACGAGUAGUUUCACACUAGCGCUUGAGUUCCUUUUUCUCUGAAAGCAUUGCAUUUUUAAAUUUUACCUCGAAAGGCCCUGACGAGCCAGGGAAAUACGAGUCACAAUAUACCAACGAAUUCAAAAGAAAGCACUUUGAGGAAAAAUAUUCCAGAUGGGGGAAAACCUCAGUGAGCAAGUUAUUGCCUAAUUAAAUAUCAUUUGAAAAGUUUGUGUUCAAAGGCUCCAGCUUUGCAAAACACGUGUUCAGUGUACGAUGUUGUAGUGGGAAGUAGAUGUUACGCUAGUCACAGUUCAACAAGCUGUUUAUUACACACCCAUAACCAGCUUCAGAAGUCGCUGCUAUUGACCUUUCCUGGGUGGCCGGACGAUCAAUAUGUGCACACUCUGUCCUGAAUCAAGCGCUCGCUCACAUGAUUCAAGGUCAGGCUAUAAAUUGUGGCGAAUCUAGUCGGAGGGCUCGGAGUUGAAAGAAGAUAGCAUAUGUGGUGUUAUAUGCCUCGUAGCGCUGGUUAAUUUAUUAUCUUGGGAGAUGGAUGAUCAUAGUGAGUGAUAUUGUAGGAAUUUUUUUUUUUUUUCCUAAUGUAGAUUUGUGUGUGUUUCCUCAGUGUCUGUCUCACUUGUUGUUGUUGUUGUAUCUGUUUUUCCAUUGGCCCAAAGGGCAGUUGUGGAUAAGCCCUGUAAACUGUGUUGUUUCCCAUUACAAUCUUUUUUAAUUUUUUUUAAUGCUUGUGUUUUCCUUGUCACGCUUAAGGCAUAGACACAAUGUUUUUCCAUUUGAAUGAUUUUUUUUUUUUGCCUGAAUCGCAAUGGUCUAGAAGGGCACUUUGGGAUUGAAUGUGUGUCAGAAAUUGCUCUACAUUUUAACGGCCAUGAUAUUUUCUUGUUUAUUGUUAUGCUGCCAAACUGCUGUGGUUUGAGGGACCACGAAUGAAUUGUCAGAAUUUGCUCUGGAUUUCCCCCCAAAAAAUAAUACCUCCAUUCAUUUUCUGCACUAUUUGUCCUCAUUAAUAUCAUGGGUAAGCUAUGGCCACUCUGCAGCUGGACCAAAAGUAGGUUACAUUUUGGGCUGGUCACCAUUCAGACCAUAUACUAGCUGGAAUCACUGCCUAGUGUCACUUAAACUGUGCAGGGUCAUUUUACGAGACAGCCAUUGACCGAUGGAUUUCUGUUUUUGUGCUGACUUCGUGUUGAGAUUA